GGGGUUGUGGCUCAGAGGUAGAGCACUUGCCUAGGAUGCAUGAGGCACUGAGUUCGAUUCUCAGGACCACA
rnacentral:tRNA from 1 species